rnacentral:rRNA from 1 species
UACGUAGGGGGCUAGCGUUGUCCGGAAUCAUUGGGCGUAAAGAGCGUGUAGGCGGUCCGGUAAGUCCGCUGUGAAAGUCGGGGGCUCAACCCUCGAAUGCCGGUGGAUACUGUCGGGCUAGAGUGCGGAAGAGGCGAGUGGAAUUCCUGGUGUAGCGAUGAAAUGCGCAGAUAUCAGGAGGAACACCUAUUGCGAAGGCAGCUCGCUGGGACGUAACUGACGCUGAGACGCGAAAGCGUGGGGGAGCAAACAGG